GCAUAUCAAUAAGCGGAGGAAAAGAAACCAACCGGGAUUGCCUCAGUAACGGCGAGUGAAGCGGCAAGAGCUCAAAUUUGAAAUCUGGCCCUUUCAGGGUCCGAGUUGUAAUUUGCAGAGGAUGCUUCGGGUGCGGUCCCCAUCUAAGUGCCCUGGAACGGGCCGUCAUAGAGGGUGAGAAUCCCGUCUGGGAUGGGCGGCCGUGCCCGUGUGAAGCUCCUUCGACGAGUCGAGUUGUUUGGGAAUGCAGCUCUAAGUGGGUGGUAAAUUUCAUCUAAAGCUAAAUACUGGCCGGAGACCGAUAGCGCACAAGUAGAGUGAUCGAAAGAUGAAAAGCACUUUGAAAAGAGAGUUAAACAGCACGUGAAAUUGUUGAAAGGGAAGCGUUGUCCACCAGACUCGCCCGGGGGGGUUCAGCCGGCACGUGUGCCGGUGUACUCCUCUCCGGGCGGGCCAGCAUCGGUUUGGGCGGCUGGUGAAAGGCCCCGGGAAUGUAGCACCCUUCGGGGUGCCUUAUAGCCCGGGGUGCCAUACAGCCAGCCUGGACCGAGGCCCGCGCUUCGGCGAGGAUGCUGGCGUAAUGGUGGUCAACGGCCCGUCUUGAAACACGGACCAAGGAGUCUAACAUCUAUGCGAGUGUUCGGGUGUCAAACCCGUCCGCGCAGUGAAAGCGAACGGAGGUGGGAGCCUUUCGGGGCGCACCAUCGACCGAUCCUGAAGUCUUCGGAUGGAUUUGAGUAAGAGCAUAGCUGUUGGGACCCGAAAGAUGGUGAACUAUGCCUGAAUAGGGCGAAGCCAGAGGAAACUCUGGUGGAGGCUCGCAGCGGUUCUGACGUGCAAAUCGAUCGUCAAAUUUGGGUAUAGGGGCGAAAGACUAAUCGAACCAUCUGGUAGCUGGUUCCUGCCGAAGU
rnacentral:rRNA from 1 species